rnacentral:tRNA from 1 species
UGUCCCAUAGCUCAGUCGGUAGAGCGGUUGUCUGUUAAACAACGGGUCGUAAGUUCAAAUCUUACUGGGACAGCCA